rnacentral:rRNA from 1 species
GGGUCAGUAGGUUGGUCGUGCCACCGGUACGUACUGGUCUCACUGAUUCCUCCUUCCUGAAGAACCGUAAUGCCAUUAAUUUGGUGUUGCGGGGAAACAGGACUGUUACUUUGAAAAAAUUAGUGUGUUUAAGGCAAGCUAACGCUUGAAUACAUUAGCAUGGAAUAAUGAAAUAGGACGAUCGAUCCUAUUUUGUUGGUUUCUAGGAUUGACGUA